rfam:Oesophagostomum dentatum strain OD-Hann O_dentatum-1.0_Cont2841.1, whole genome shotgun sequence.
CCCGCUGCACUUAAGCAUAUCACUUAGCGGAGGAAAAGAAACUAACAAGGAUUCCCUCAAUAACGGCGAGUGAACGGGAA